rnacentral:tRNA from 1 species
GGGGUUGUGGCUCAGGGGCAAAGCAUCCGCUUGGCAUUCAGAAGAUACCAGGUUCAAUCCAUAGUAUCUCCA